GGCAAGGUGGUACAGUGGUUAGCACUGCUGUUUCACAGUAAGAAGGUUGUGGGUUCGACUCCGGCCUGGGGCC